rnacentral:rRNA from 1 species
AUUGAACGCUGGCGGCAUGCUUUACACAUGCAAGUCGAACGGUAACAGGCCGCAAGGUGCUGACGAGUGGCGAACGGGUGAGUAAUGCAUCGGAACGUGCCCAGUCGUGGGGGAUAACUACUCGAAAGAGUAGCUAAUACCGCAUACGAUCUAUGGAUGAAAGCGGGGGACCGUAAGGCCUCGCGCGAUUGGAGCGGCCGAUGUCAGAUUAGGUAGUUGGUGGGGUAAAGGCUCACCAAGCCAACGAUCUGUAGCUGGUCUGAGAGGACGACCAGCCACACGGGGACUGAGACACGGCCCGGCCUCCGAGGGGAGGCAGCGGGGGGGAUUUUUGGACAAGGGCCGAAGGCUUGAUCCAGAAUUGCCGCGGGAAGGAAGAGGGCCUUGGGUUUUUAAACUGUUUUUGUAGGAAAGGAACCGUCUGUGGUUAACACCGGGGGCUAAUGCGGGUACCGAAAAAAAAAGCCCGGGCUAACUCCUGG